CCGUGCUAGAUGGGGAGGUAGCGGUGCCCUGAACCUGCAACCCGCUAUAGCAGGAUCGAAGGCCUGGUAUGAGGUAUAUGUUUGUAGGGCUGGAGCAGUCAAGUGGCGAAGAUUUCUGGGUCCUACGCAACGGGAAGCUGUAAACCCCGUCAGGUCCGGAAGGAAGCAGCGGUAAGCAGUGUCUCCCGUGUGCCGCAGGGUAGCCUGGAAGGAGUUAACUGGCUGAAUACCGUCUAUGAAUGUAUAUCGAAACCAGGGCACGG
rnacentral:SRP_RNA from 1 species